UUUGAAGCUGACUUUUAUUUAAAACCUUUGCACAAUCGAAAAUAUAAGAGAAUAGAUAUUGAAAAUAAGGAACUGACUUGACUUUUGUUAAACAUAAAUUUUUUUUAACAGCAUUAUUAGAUGGUGACUUUUUAGCGUAUCUCCAACCUGUUCUUCCAGAUUAUGUGACACAAUAUUUCUUGCGAGUAAUUUUUUUUCAAUUUUCCAGUUUAUGUGGUUAAACAAUUAGCCCAUGUUACAUGCCAAGAUCUGAGGACUUCCUGUGUACGUAUCAUGAAAAAAAUGUUUACAAACGAAUUGGCAGUGAAUUUUAGUUGGUACGGAGCUAAGAAAAAAGAAAA